rnacentral:rRNA from 1 species
UAGAUACCCGGGUAGUCCACGCCGUAAACGAUGAUCACUAAGUGUGGGGGGUCGAACCUCCGUGCUCAAGCUAACGCGAUAAGUGAUCCGCCUGGGGAGUACGCACGCAAGUGUGAAACUCAAAGGAAUUGACGGGGACCCGCACAAGCGGUGGAGCAUGUGGUUUAAUUCGACGCAACGCGAGGAACCUUACCAGCCCUUGACAUCCUCAGAACUUAGCAGAGAUGCUUUGGUGCCACUUCGGUGGAACUGGGUGACAGGUGGUGCAUGGCCGCCGUCAGAAG